rnacentral:rRNA from 1 species
UCGGGGGUAUAGUAGUGUUUAUUAGAUACAGAACCAAUACACCUUUUUUAAAGGGUGUAGAAAAAGGUGAUUCAUAGUAACCGAACGGAUCGCAUUAUAAUCAUUUCGAUGAUUGGCGAUAGAUCAUUCAAGUUUCUGACCUAUCAGCUUUCGACGGUAGUGUAUUGGACUACCGUGGCAGUGACGGGUAACGGGGAAUUAGGGUUCGAUUCCGGAGAGGGAGCCUGAGAAACGGCUACCACAUCUAAGGAAGGCAGCAGGCGCGCAAAUUACCCAAUCCUGACUCAGGGAGGUAGUGACAAGAAAUAACAACACUGGAAAUUCUAUUUCUAGUGAUUGGAAUGAUGGGAAUCCAAACCCCUUUCAGAGUAACAAUUGGAGGGCAAGUCUGGUGCCAGCAGCCGCGGUAAUUCCAGCUCCAAUAGCGUAUAUUAAAGUUGUUGCAGUUAAAAAGCUCGUAGUUGGAUAUCUGCUGGAAGCAAUCAGUCCGCCCUUUUAGUGAGGGUGUGUACUUGAUGAAUUCUGGCAUGAUUAUCUUCCCACUAAUAAUAUUAUUAUAUUAGGUUAAUUCCUAAUAUGGUAAUAAUUAUUUUUGGGAAGACACAGUAGUUACUUUGAGAAAAUUAGAGUGUUUGAAGCAGGCUUGUUGCCUUGAAUACUGCAGCAUGGAAUAACAAUAUAGGAUUUCGGUUCUAUUUUGUUGGUUUCUAGGACUGAAAUAAUGAUUAAUAGGGACAGUUGGGG